rnacentral:rRNA from 1 species
UAGGGAAUCUUCCACAAUGGACGAAAGUCUGAUGGAGCAACGCCGCGUGAGUGAAGAAGGUUUUCGGAUCGUAAAGCUCUGUUGUUGGUGAAGAAGGAUAGAGGCAGUAACUGGUCUUUAUUUGACGGUAAUCAACCAGAAAGUCACGGCUAACUACGUGCCAGCAGCCGCGGUAAUACGUAGGUGGCAAGCGUUGUCCGGAUUUAUUGGGCGUAAAGCGAGCGCAGGCGGAAUGAUAAGUCUGAUGUGAAAGCCC